UUCGAUUACAUCAGCCAUGACCUCGAGAAUAGGUUAGGAUGCUCUUCCCAGAAGCUGUUAGCCCCGCCGAAGCAAAUAACUUACAAUUAGUUCAGUGCUCUUUCGGAUCUGCUGCUGUUUGAAUAUGUCCAUAGUUGCUCUGAGCCUACGACUUUCUGCGGUGAUGUGGUCGCCCAGCUAUGAGUGUCUUGCUGUUUGAGGUGUUGCUCGAUAGGGGCUAGUAUUUCUUUUAUGAUGUGUGCAUUGUGAUUGGCAUCGUAUCAUGGUGCAAUUACCGUGCUAUCGUAUUUGAAAAAUGUUAUAUGCCUCUCUAGUACUAGCUAGCUAGUUGCAAAUAUCCCAUCACUCUGCAAUUUAUUUGUUCUUCCCAAACACUAGCCAGUUGUUAGAAAAUGCAGUCAACAGAUCCUUUGCAAUUGUAGUUGUUGGCAGUAAUUGUAGCUGUGCUGUUCUAUCAUACUAGAUCACAGUAUGUUAUAACCUUUGCAAUUAUAGACUGAUCCUUUAUUGUCAGGGUUCCACCAAAAGGAGAAGUUGCUCUGGUGUCUACAAACAUGGGUGUGGCGCUAUACGAAGCUUGAGAGGUGACUGGUCCUUUGGGUGAUGUUCCCAAGACUGCAUGAAUGAAAGAUCAGUGGAGAUUUCAGCUAAAUUAGCAAAGAUGAAGCUGGGCAGGUGAUCCUUUGGGUAGCAGUAUUGAGGAUUCUGAAUAAUGUGUUGUAUACCACAUACCAGAUAAAGGUGAUUCUGCAAUUUUGCAGAAAGCAUAUAUAGACCUGCUUCAUUACUCAUAAAAAGCUUGUUUAUUGGUCGUGCAUAUUUUGAAUCUGUGCG
rnacentral:lncRNA from 1 species